ensembl:lncRNA
UGCCUCUGGACACUAUUUAACUUCAAAGAGCAAAGUGACACCAAAGAAAGGGUCCCCUCCCUUCUUUUGAUCAAAAUGCAGCUUGUUUUCGUAUUAGUCAGUGUGUGUGUGUGUGUGUGAAUGGAGGUUGUGGUGUGUGUGUGUGUUUGUGUGUGUGUGGUGGUUGUGGUGUGUCUGUGUGUGUGUGGGUGUGUGUGUUUGUGUGUGUGUUUGUGUGUGUGUGGUGGUUGUGUGUGUGUGUGUGUGUGUGUGUGUGUGUGUGUGAGGUGGAUGAUGGCUUGAGGGGUAAGAGAAGGUCCCUGUCUGUCUUAAUCUAAUUGUCAUUUCUGUGUAUUCCUCUCAUCAAGGCUUGUCAUUGUAUUAGCUUGUGGUGUUUAGGCCAAUAAAAGCGUCUACAAUUGAAAUGCAAUUAAAAUGAGAUUGAGAGCCAACAAAAGAGUGUUUGUUUGAGUCAGUGGUGUGUGUGUGUGUGUGCGAGAGAGAGAGAAAGAGAGCGAGAGAGAGAGAGAGACAGAGAAAGGCAGCAUGUGUAUAAUUUGGAGUGUGUGUGUGUGUGUGUGUGUGAGAGAGAGAGAGAGAGAGAGAGACAGAGAAAGGCAAUAUGUGUAUAAUUUGGAGUGUGUGUGUGUGUGUGUGAGAGAGAGAGAGAGAGAGAGAGACAGAGAAAGGCAGCAUGUGUAUAAUUUGGAGUGUGUGUGUGUGUGUGUGUGUGAGAGAGAGAGAGAGAGAGAGAGAGAGAGACAGAGAAAGGCAGCAUGUGUAUAAUUUGGAGUGUGUACGCGCCCGCUCACUAGAGUCUCCUCUCUGCCCAUUUUCUGCUCGGCGUCUCUGAAUUAUUAAUCAGACCUGAGCAGAGACAGAGACAGAGGGAGCAUGGCUUAGAGGAGCAACGAGGAGCAGCCAGGAGCAGCGAGGAGCUGGGACUCUCUCCAUCUCACUCCCACAUCAUCCCUCGCUCCCUCCCUCCCUCCCUCCCCGCCCCCCUGGAUGUCUCUCAUGGACCCUAUCUUUACCUCACCCUCUUUCUCCCUUUUUCCAUCUCCAUCUCCAUUGUCACUCCUUUUUCUUCCUUCACUACUUUACCCCUCUCUUCUAACGAGAAGAAAAAGCUUUUUCUUGUAUGUUCUCUAUGUACCACUAAAGUCAAAGAAAUAAUAAUGUGAUUCGCUAAGGAAAUCUACGAGUGAAAAUACAGCCAUUCUCUAAUGUGACUGUUUGGUUCAUUGGUGCUAAAGGAUCUGCCCCAUAUCCUUUUUUUCUUUAAAUAUAGUUGAGAAUGAAGAGAAAUGUUGAAAAAUUCAUUUGAAUUCAGACUGGUUCCCUCUUGUGAGCUCCACAAAGAGGACGAGGUUCGGUUCAAACAUCAGACUGUGUGUUCCUGACGCGUGCCUGCUCGCGUGACACAACAUCUAGAAUCUCUCUCUUCUCUCUCUGUCUCUUUCUGUGGGGCUGAGGCUGGAGCUAUCUCAUCCCCAUCUUCUUCUUCCUACUCUCUUUCUUGCUUCUGAAGCUCUGUUCAUCUUUGUCCAUUCAGCUGUCCCCCUAUCUAUCUCUCUAUCUAUCUAUCUAUCUAUCUAUCUAUCUAUCUAUCUAUCUCUCUCUCUAUCUAUCUAUCUAUCUAUCUAUCUCUCUAUCUAUCUAUCUCUCUCUCUAUCUCUCUAUCUAUCUAUCUCUCUAUCUAUCUCUCUAUCUAUAUCUCUCUCUAUCUCUCUAUCUAUCUAUCUAUCUAUCUAUCUAUCUCUCUAUCUAUAUAUCUAUCCAUCCAGCCAGUGAACUACCCCACCUCCCCUUUCUCUCCCGUUCUUUGUGUCCUGUCAGAGAGGGAACUGCCAGCUAAUGCAGUUGAGAGUUGGGUUGACCCACAGAGUGCAGCCCCAUCAAUAAUACAUGCAGAUAAUGUAGCCACACAACACACACACACACACACACACACACACACACACACACACACACACACACA